rnacentral:rRNA from 1 species
GACGAACGCUGGCGGCGUGCCUAACACAUGCAAGUCGAACGGGGUAGAGAGCUUCGGUUUUCUACUUAGUGGCGAACGGGUGAGUAACGCGUGAGGAACCUGCCUUCCAGUGGGGGACAACAGUUGGAAACGACUGCUAAUACCGCAUAAUGUAGCGAGAUCGCAUGGUCUUGCUACCAAAGCUUUAUGUGCUGGAAGAUGGCCUCGCGUCUGAUUAGCUAGUUGGUGGGGUAACGGCCCACCAAGGCGACGAUCAGUGGCCGGUCUGAGAGGAGGAACGGCCACAUUGGGACUGAGAUACGGCCCAGACUCCUACGGGAGGCAGCAGUGGGGAAUAUUGGGCAAUGGGGGAAACCCUGACCCAGCAACGCCGCGUGAAGGAAGAAGGCCCUCGGGUUGUAAACUUCUUUUAGCAGGGACGAAGGACGUGACGGUACCUGCAGAAAAAGCAACGGCUAACUACGUGCCAGCCGCCGCGGUAAUAC